AGAGUUUGAUCCUGGCUCAGGAUGAACGCUAGCGACAGGCCUAACACAUGCAAGUCGAGGGGUAACAGGGGCUUCGGCCCGCUGACGACCGGCGCACGGGUGAGUAACGCGUAUGCAACCUGCCUGUAACAGCGGGAUAGCUCCCUGAAAGGGGAAUUAACACCGCAUAAGACCACGCUCUCGCAUGGGGACGGGGUAAAAUAUUUAUAGGUUACAGAUGGGCAUGCGUGACAUUAGUUAGUUGGUGAGGUAACGGCUCACCAAGACAGCGAUGUCUAGGGGUUCUGAGAGGAAGGUCCCCCACACUGGAACUGAGACACGGUCCAGACUCCUACGGGAGGCAGCAGUGAGGAAUAUUGGUCAAUGGACGCAAGUCUGAACCAGCCAUGUCGCGUGCAGGACGACUGCCCUAUGGGUUGUAAACUGCUUUUAUAUUGGAAGAAUUGCGCUUACGAGUUAAGCGUUUGACGGUACAUUAUGAAUAAGGAUCGGCUAACUCCGUGCCAGCAGCCGCGGUAAUACGGAGGAUCCGAGCGUUAUCCGGAUUUAUUGGGUUUAAAGGGUGCGUAGGCGGAAAUGUAAGUCAGUGGUGAAAUCCUGCAGCUUAACUGUAGAAUAGCCGUUGAAACUGUGUUUCUUGAGUACAUUUGAGGUAGGCGGAAUGUGGUGUGUAGCGGUGAAAUGCAUAGAUAUACCACAGAACACCGAUUGCGAAGGCAGCUUACUAAACUGUCACUGACGCUGAUGCACGAAAGCGUGGGGAUCAAACAGGAUUAGAUACCCUGGUAGUCCACGCUGUAAACGAUGAUUACUGGUUGUUUGCGAUACACUGCAAGUGACUGAGCGAAAGCAUUAAGUAAUCCACCUGGGGAGUACGUCGGCAACGAUGAAACUCAAAGGAAUUGACGGGGGCCCGCACAAGCGGAGGAACAUGUGGUUUAAUUCGAUGAUACGCGAGGAACCUUACCUGGGCUAGAACGCCGAGCGCAUAUGGGGGAAACCCCAUAGCCAGCAAUGGCGGUCGGCGAGGUGCUGCAUGGUUGUCGUCAGCUCGUGCCGUGAGGUGUCGGGUUAAGUCCCAUAACGAGCGCAACCCCUAUCGAUAGUUACCAGCACGUUACGGUGGGGACUCUAUCGAGACUGCCGGUGUAAACCGUGAGGAGGGUGGGGAUGACGUCAAAUCAGCACGGCCCUUACAUCCAGGGCUACACACGUGUUACAAUGGCCGGUACAAAGGGCAGCUACACAGCGAUGUGAUGCUAAUCUCCAAAUCCGGUCUCAGUUCGGAUCGAAGUCUGCAACCCGACUUCGUGAAGCUGGAUUCGCUAGUAAUCGCGCAUCAGCCAUGGCGCGGUGAAUACGUUCCCGGGCCUUGUACACACCGCCCGUCAAGCCAUGGAAGCUGGGGGUACCUGAAGUCCGUAACCGCAAGGAGCGGCCUAGGGUAAAACUGGUGACUGGGGCUAAGUCGUAACAAGGUAGCCGUACCGGAAGGUGUGGCUG
rnacentral:rRNA from 1 species